UUGUCUGUCAUAUAGAUGCCUUUUAUUAUCUGCGAAAAAAACAUUUUUACUUAAUUACUGCUCAUGUAAAUAUGUUUAAGACUUAUAAAUAAAUAAAACUGUAAUAAUACCUUUUUCCAUGCCUUGCUUUUGUAUGUCCACCAUAAGGCUACUAAAAUAUCUCCUUUAUUUAACCAGAAAAGAAGCAGACCAAGAUAAACAACUGGUGGAAAACCCAAAUGAAGAAACUUUACAUAGAUCAGGGAUGUAGGCAGAUUAAACAUCCAAGAUCAGGAGGUGACUCUCAUCUAAGUAGUGGUCCAAAGUAAUCCACGUAAGCAGGUAGUGUGGAUGCCAAAUGUUUUUGUAAUGACCACGUACGUGCAUCGAUGUCUGCAGGCCAAGAGAAUAACUGACUUGAAAUGUCUGGCCACAGCUCCAUCCCAUCAGACGUCCCAGCUCUGUAAUUAAUUAGGGCGUGGGGACAGUUUACGAUCCUCUACGAGCAAGAGAAAGAGCUCAUCUCAUCAACACAUUGAGUAUAAUCAGAUCACUCUCCUGGGAAACGGGUUUGCUCAGAAGGAAGUACGGAUAUGCAUUGGAAAGUUGGGAGACAAGAGGCAAGAAAGAAAGGAAGACUUGGCAUGGUGCUUGGUGCGAACAAGCUGGACACCGGUCUAUGAAUGUUGACACCAAGGUGGACAUUUCUAACUCCACAAUACAAACCGCCCUAGAUGUCUGUAUGCCCUUAAAGAGAAGGAUGACAAAAUAAAGAUCACCAUCAGAAGAAGACUUAAAACCUUCAACACAUAGGACAAAGAAAACACAGACUGCUACGGAUGAGCAACAGUCUCACACGUCCAGUACUGAAAGCAGUGAGCAGUCAGACUGAAUGGAACAUAUGAUGGAGAGCUGAAGUCUGUGGGAAGCUAGACUCCCAACUAUCAGUAAAGCUAAAGUCUUUCCAGUCAACGUUAAAAUAGGCAUAGAACUUACAGAAGAUGAGUGCCUCAUGAUGUUUGGCUGUUUUAUGGCUGUAUGUUACUGUGGGUAAGUUGGCCAUUUGGUAUUUUGGACAGUUAUGAUAAUGAACUCCCUGUAUGUACUGAACCUUCCUGAAAUUAAGUGUGUGUCUGUCUGUCUGUCUGUCUGUCUGUGUCUCUCUCUCUCACUCACUCUUUCUCUCUCUCCCUCUGUUUGUGUGUGUGUGGUUGAGUUGGCAUUAUGGUCAGCGUCAGAGUUAAUGGAGCUGUAUGUUGUGGUCCCGCUGAGCGGCUGCACAUUCAGUGGCAAAAAACAGGAGUGUAACCGGGUUGCUGACUCCUGUAAAAU